rnacentral:rRNA from 2 species
AGAGUUUGAUCCUGGCUCAGGACGAACGCUGGCGGCGUGCUUAACACAUGCAAGUCGAGCGGUAAGGCCUUUCGGGGUACACGAGCGGCGAACGGGUGAGUAACACGUGGGUGAUCUGCCCUGCACUUCGGGAUAAGCCUGGGAAACUGGGUCUAAUACCGGAUAUGACCUCCUAUCGCAUGGUGGGUGGUGGAAAGAUUUAUCGGUGCAGGAUGGGCCCGCGGCCUAUCAGCUUGUUGGUGGGGUAAUGGCCUACCAAGGCGACGACGGGUAGCCGACCUGAGAGGGUGACCGGCCACACUGGGACUGAGACACGGCCCAGACUCCUACGGGAGGCAGCAGUGGGGAAUAUUGCACAAUGGGCGAAAGCCUGAUGCAGCGACGCCGCGUGAGGGAUGACGGCCUUCGGGUUGUAAACCUCUUUCAGCAGGGACGAAGCGCAAGUGACGGUACCUGCAGAAGAAGCACCGGCUAACUACGUGCCAGCAGCCGCGGUAAUAC